rnacentral:rRNA from 1 species
CUUGGUCAUUUAGAGGAAGUAAAAGUCGUAACAAGGUCUCCGUUGGUGAACCAGCGGAGGGAUCAUUACAGAGUUUUCUAACUCCCAAACCCAUGUGAACUUACCUAUGUUGCCUCGGCGGGGAAGCCUACCCGGUACCUACGCUGUAGUUACCCGGGAAAAGCUGUUAUACCCGUCGGUGGACCAUAUAAAUUCUUGUUUUUCUGUGGCACUUCUGAAUUUUAUACUUAAUAAGUUAAAACUUUCAACAACGGAUCUCUUGGUUCUGGCAUCGAUGAAGAACGCAGCGAAAUGCGAUAAGUAAUGUGAAUUGCAGAAUUCAGUGAAUCAUCGAAUCUUUGAACGCACAUUGCGCCCAUUAGUAUUCUAGUGGGCAUGCCUGUUCGAGCGUCAUUUCGACCAUCAAGCCCUAGUUGCUUGGAGUUGGGACUUGAUCUCCGGAUCAUUCCUUAAAGACAUUGGCGGAGUCGCGGUGACCCCAAGCGUAGUAAUUUGUUUCUCGCUUUAGGUGUGUCGGCGCUGACGUCUAGCCGUUAAACCCUUAUUUUUUUAGGUUUGACCUCGGAUCAGGUAGGAAUACCCGCUGAACUUAAGCAUAUCAAUAAGCGGAGGA